UCCACGAUCUCGAAAGAAAAUUUGUGCGAACGAAGGCAAUUCACUCACUUUCGCAUAAGAAUGCGUUCCACUAACUUUCGUUCUUUCUUUCGCAUAGCCUUACGUGAUUCAGUGUUGCAAAAUAUUUUUUGGCAAAAUUAAUCGCGAAAUAAGGCAAAAAAGCGCCAAAUGUCUAAUUUAAACGCGAAAAAGCAGCAGUGGCUCUGUCUCAACUGACAGUUCAGUUGUAAACAAACAAAUUGUAAAUAAACAAACAAAAUAAAAUUUCUAGUGAUUGUGUUUAGAUUAUUUGUGUUCUUAAAAAAGAAAAAAAAUGAAUAUUUCUGUAGCCCUAUUUUUUAUGGAUGAUGAGGAGGAGGUUCAAAUUGUGCCAUGGAGGCAUUUAAGAGAUGCUUCGAAUUUAUUUGAAGUACCUAACAACCAGUUUGUGUCUUCCAGUGGUCUUCAUGGGAUUGCCUGCUGCUUCCAAAAAUUGGCACUCCUCUGGCGAACUUAGGAUUCUCCCCCAUAUACUCAACUAGUGCCCGCAGCAGGAACGUUCGAAAAAAAAAAAAAAAAGUUGUGCGAACGUGUUCUUUCGACAUCGUGGAACAGGCUGUUAGUUUUCAAGUUGAUCAUUUUCUUUAUUUAUAUGUAUCAAUACAUUUUUCAACCUUGUUAGCCCUGCCAAUUAAAUGUUAAAUUUACAAUAUGCACAUUUCUGCUCGGCCAAAUUCAUGUAGCUAAAACAAGCAGAAAUGUGCACCACUCAGCGCCAUUUUUUUCUCGAGAGUGCUGCAAGUUUUGCUAGUUUUUGGAGUACGGGAACGCGUUGUAGCAGAAUUAGUGCUAAUUAGUACUAAUUUGCAGGUUCUGGAACACAACUAAUAUUUUUUCUUUGUAGUACGUCCGCCUUCUUUGCGAACCAACCUUUUUUCUAAAUUUAAUAUUUAACUCCGAGAUUACUUUUUAUUUCAACAUUUGGUUUGGAAAUAUCAAUUUUCGAUGAAUUUAGAACCUCACAUCACGAGAAGUAUGAAUUUUCCCUGAAAAAAAGUAAUAAGAAUAAAAAGACCUAAAAUCGGAAAACGAUGUUGGUAUUUCCGGCAGCUGCGUAAUCCCGAUUUCAUAUGCAUUUAUCAAUAAAAACUUUUAUGCCUUUUGGAAUGUAGUUCAAAUGCUACAAUACAAAUUUUUUACUUAAAGAUUUGUUGUACUUGUAUGUGAGAUUCUACAUAUUUUGAGAUUUAAAUCCAAAUUACUUGGAUCAGCAAACUAGGACUAGCAAUAAGCAUUAAACUUCAAUUCAAUAGUCUAACUAUUUUCGGUGCAAUUUUUGUCAUUUUGCACCAUGUCCGUAUCAGGCGACAUACUGUUAUGUU